CGAUUGAACGCUGGCGGCAUGCUUUACACAUGCAAGUCGAACGGCAGCGCGGGGGCAACCCUGGCGGCGAGUGGCGAACGGGUGAGUAAUGUAUCGGAACGUAUCCUGUAAUGGGGGAUAACCAGUCGAAAGAUUGGGUAAUACCGCAUACGCACGAGAGUGGAAAGUAGGGGAUCGCAAGACCUUACGUUAUAGGAGCGGCCGAUAUCUGAUUAGCUAGUUGGUGGGGUAAAGGCCUACCAAGGCGACGAUCAGUAGCUGGUCUGAGAGGACGACCAGCCACACUGGGACUGAGACACGGCCCAGACUCCUACGGGAGGCAGCAGUGGGGAAUUUUGGACAAUGGGCGAAAGCCUGAUCCAGCCAUGCCGCGUGCAGGAAGAAGGCCUUCGGGUUGUAAACUGCUUUAGUCUAGGAAAAAGGGGUGCGAGGUUAAUACCCUCGUGCUUUGAUGGUACUGGAAGAAUAAGCACCGGCUAACUACGUG
rnacentral:rRNA from 1 species